GCGAGGCGCAGAAACCGAAGUCCCGGGUUGCUUCUUGGGAAUCGCGGAAAAUUUGGCAAUUUCCAAACCCUGAAUGUGGAACGAAAACCAGAGAAUCUCCUAACUCUAAAGGAAUGUGUGCUGUCAUCUUCUUCAGUGCCUGUUGGGCUGCUGUAAAGGGCCUUUUUUUUUUUUUUUUGGCGCCCAGCCUCGCAGAGGAGUACUUCGGAGGGGUUGCGGCUAAGUAAUGGAGGAGGGAAGGGCAAAUGCAUACAAAUUAUCACCUCCACUUUUUAUUAAAUUCACAUCAUAUGAAAGUACCCUGUGCAGAUGUUGUAAUUCCUACUCCUGCUUUCGCUCUUUAUAGAUGGUGAACACUGAGUGAAAGUAUGAGUACUCACGCAUGGUAUGACUGAACAAACUUCAUCCUGUCUCAAAGCUGUAAUUACUGUGAAUAGCAAUGAUCCUAAAUGACUGAGAUCUUUUCUGGGCUUUGAUCUAGAUGUUUUGAUCAAUGAUGCCAAUUAACUGCUGAAACUUAAGAGGCUGAUCAUUUCAGAUGUUCUUCAAAGAUGGUAACUUAACAAUAUUUCUAAAAGCCUUGGAGUGAAAUUCUCACUCAUCUUGAGAUUCUAUACCCAAAUGAUCCUUUUUUUAAAUUCUGGAGAUCAGAGGAGACCUGUAAGAGGGCAGAGAAAACUAUGUGGCUCUCCCAAAGAAAUCUCACGUUGAAAGAAAUCAGAGAGUUUAGAGUCUAGGGUGGAGCCGGUGUAUUCACACCACACCCUAGGGUAGCUAUGAAAGUGGCCCAACUCGAAACUGUAAACGUAAUUAACAUGUUUCCAGGUGUGUUUUGAGAUUUUUUUUUUUUCUAAAGCUCUAUCGGGUGGUUAUUAGUGUAAACUCGGUCCAGGAAGACAUCAGGUCAAAGGUUGGAUAUGUCAGGGAGGGAUUCCACCUCACCACAAUCUCAGAUGAGAAUGGGUGGAGGACCAGCCUGGAACACUUCAGAGGAAGUCCCUCCGCUAUCACCUCCAUCCUAGUGUCUUCCUCCUUUUGUUCUGCUGAAGCUGCUGUUGUGACCUUCAAGGGAUGGACUGGAAUGUCAGACUAGAAUGUUUUAUUUUAAAAAUAAUUGGUCAUAAGGAGGUCACAACUAAAACAUUUGAAAUAUAUUUAAUGUAUAGCUAAGUGGUUGUUUUGUUGUUUUGUUGUUUUGUUUUGUUUUGUUUUGUUUUCAAUCGCUGCAAAGCUACUCAUCUUGGGUUUGUAUGGUUCAGGUGCUUUUUCUGUCGGACACCAGCACAGCGUGGCACACAGUGAGUCAGCCUCUCACUGACAAGCCUUGGCAGCCCCUGACAAGACACAUUUCCACCAUGGCCUGUGGAGUUAAGCCCAGAUGUUGCCUCAUCAUAGAAAAGUCCACCAUAUUGCUGCAGAAGGUCAGUCCUCGGAGACAGGACAUGGGCAAGAAGAGGUGAAUCAGUGAAUAGCGAAGAGCCAUUCCAGUGAAUAGUGUAGAUUACAAAUGCCUGGUGUGUUUGCAGGAAUGCUCUCAACUUUCUCUGUUACCCAAACUUUAAAAAAAAAAAACACCCUUUGCACUGAAA